GAAAAACUCCUAUCUUCAAGAGGAAAGGAAGUUCUUAUAAAAUCUGUGGCUCAGGCGGUACCUGUCUAUUCAAUGUCUUGUUUCAAGCUACCACAUGGAUUAUGUGAGCAUAUAAACACACUAAUACGUAAGUUUUGGUGGGGGAGCAAAGAAGGACAGAGGAAGCCGAGUUGGGUCUCGUGGAGUACUAUGACAAGGCUGAAACAUUGUGGAGGUUUGGGGUUUCGUGACAUAGAACUUUUUAACCUUGCACUUCUCGCAAGACAGACAUGGAGGGUAACGAUGGAUCCGGAUUCACUAAGUGGUCGUGUGUUGAAGGCAAAAUACCAUGUGAAUGCAGAUUUUCUCCAAGCUGAUCUG
rnacentral:rRNA from 1 species